rnacentral:lncRNA from 1 species
GUUUCUACAUUUAUUGAUUAUGUUAUCAUUUGUGUACUGCAACAAUGUUGUGAAUUUUAUAUUUGAAAAAAAGAAAUGAAUCAAAUCUAAUAGACCUACCUGGUUACUUUACUACCAUUGACAAAUAUAAACAACAGAUCUUUGUAUGCCAUUUCUGAGUAUUGAGGGAUGCCUAUGUAUAUCUGGAUACUAUAAAUUUGUAACUAUCAAUUCCUGCCAACCUAGAUUUUAAACUAUCUCUUACGAGCUUCUACAACCAAGCCACACAUUAGCUCUAUUUGCUACAAGGUUAGCAAGAUAUACAAUUUAGUCUUGCUCCCAUCAUUGAACAUAUAUCAACUUGAAACAGUAUAUAAUAAAUAAUCUACAAAAUAUAAAGGGAAGAAUAAAGAUAUGAGUAGGAAAUUGGAAGAGAAUUUCAUAAUAGAAAGGUUCAGAAUAUCAAGUUUACCUUGUAUGUCUUCUUUGUUUCAGCUGAUGUUAGUGUUGCCUCGCAUGACUGCUUCUGGCUAAUUUUAGGUGUCGUGGGGUUGGAAGGUUCGUUUUUUUUUUUUUUGAAUCGGCUAAUACUAUUCUCGACAAAGUGUACAAAAACUGUACCGCUCGCGGAAAAAACGGAAAGAUAGAAAUGUACAAAAAGUGCCGCAAAUAUACGGGACACCAAAAGCCACCUCCCCAAAUAGAAAACAGCACACUAAAAGCCCAAAAUAGGAAAUUAUGAUGCUAAUACAUGCAGCACAGGAAAAGGGAAAACAACAACACAGAACAGCCCUUAAGCACUGCCUAUACAAUUGAUCCUAUGUACUUCAUCACUGCAUACCGAAGCCUCAAAACCAUCCAGCUAGAACUGUGCAUCUGUAAUAUGCGCUCCUAAAAACUCACAGCCGGUACACAAGCCCAAAAGCACCGCCAGUUACUUCACGUGAGAAGAAAAUCUCGACAGACUCACCAGUACUGUCACUACACCCCAAUUAGCUACUUCCUCGAUAGACAUUCUUGAGGAUUCCAAUUCCAUUCAUAAAAUAAACAUGCUUGUAUAUUCAGCCUACACAAACUCCACCGCCAUGAAUUAACCACAAUUUCCGCCAAAAGAUCAUCCACAUGUUUCACCUCAUUACGAAAAAUCAAAUGAUUCCUCGCUUGCCAAAUAGCCCAAAUAGUUGCAUGCCAAAUGAUCCACAAACCUUUCAAAUUAUCUACUUCCUCUAAAUUAACCACAAUUGGUAAUUUACCUAAAAAAGGAGUGAGAAAACAUAGUUUAAGGUUGGAUAAAACUGGCAAACAAGAAAGUUAGAACAGAAAAGAAUCACGAAAUUUUCUUUCUUCGUGGCCGAUGCCAUUUUUGCUUCUAGUUGUUGGUCUACUGGCACGAGGAAACACCACGCUGAUGGGAUUGAGGUCUUGAGUGGAAUAACAACGCAUUUCGCGAGGAACUGGAAGCUUGUAGGAUGAGGAAAUAUUGUAAAUUUUCUUGGCUUCCCCUCAGUGGUAAGCCAAUCACAAUGAACUGGAAGCUUGUAAUCAGCAAAAUAAAUAAACGCAAUUCUAUAGUAAUAACUUGUGUUUUGUGUGACGAGUUUGUAGAAUCGUUGACUUACCUAUUUUUACAUUGCUUAGUAGCGUCCAAAGUGUGGAGAAUGAUAAUGAGUUCUCUCGGUAUCAAUUUCAUCAUUCCUCAUAAUUUGUUUGUUCAUUUAGAGUGUUGGAGAGGGGAAAUUGUUGAUAAGAAAUUGAAGAAGGGGUUUAUGUUAAUAUGGCAUGCGACUAUUUGGGUGAUGUGGAAGACUAGAAAGGAAAGGAUUUUCAAAAAUGUUGUAAAAGAGGUGGGGGAAAUGGUGGAGGAUAUUAAGUUAUUAUGGUGGAAUUGCAACUAUUUUGUUUAUGGGGUUGUUAGUGGCAGCUUAUUGUUUUUGAGGUGCUUGGUGUUCCGUUUUAUAUACA